rnacentral:rRNA from 1 species
AUUGAACGCUGGCGGCAGGCCUAACACAUGCAAGUCGAACGGUAACAGGAAACAGCUUGCUGUUUCGCUGACGAGUGGCGGACGGGUGAGUAAUGUCUGGGAAACUGCCUGAUGGAGGGGGAUAACUACUGGAAACGGUAGCUAAUACCGCAUAACGUCGCAAGACCAAAGAGGGGGACCUUCGGGCCUCUUGCCAUCGGAUGUGCCCAGAUGGGAUUAGCUAGUAGGUGGGGUAACGGCUCACCUAGGCGACGAUCCCUAGCUGGUCGGAGAGGAUGACCAGCCACACUGGAACUGAGACACGGUCCAGACUCCUACGGGAGGCAGCAGUGGGGAAUAUUGCACAAUGGGCGCAAGCCUGAUGCAGCCAUGCCGCGUGUAUGAAGAAGGCCUUCGGGUUGUAAAGUACUUUCAGCGGGGAGGAAGGGAGUAAAGUUAAUACCUUUACUCAUUGACGUUACCCGCAGAAGAAGCACCGGCUAACUCCGUG